CCUACGGGACGCACCAGUGGGGAAUAUUGGACAAUGGGCGAAAGCCUGAUCCAGCAAUGCCGCGUGUGUGAAGAAGGUCUUCGGAUUGUAAAGCACUUUCGGCGGGGACGAUGAUGACGGUACCCGUAGAAGAAGCCCCGGCUAACUUCGUGCCAGCAGCCGAGGUAAUACGAAGGGGGCUAGCGUUGCUCGGAAUGACUGGGCGUAAAGGGCGCGUAGGCGGUUUAUGCAGUCAGAUGUGAAAUCCCCGGGCUUAACCUGGGAACUACAUUUGAGACGCAUAGACUAGAGGUCGAGAGAGGGUUGUGGAAUUCCCAGUGUAGAGGUGAAAUUCGUAGAUAUUGGGAAGAACACCGGUGGCCAAGGCGGCAACCUGGCUCGAUACUGACGCUGAGGCGCGAAAGCGUGGGGAGCAAACAGGAUUAGAUACCCGGGUAGUC
rnacentral:rRNA from 1 species